GACGUGGCAAGCACACGUACACCGGAGCGCGCGCCGAUCGCAUUCGUCUCUUUUUUUCACGUUCGGAAAGAGGCAUCAGCUGAACGUUUUUGUUCUAAAGCUCUCGUUUGUUUGGAGCCCGCCGCGCCUGCGUGUCCAGGGGCUCGUGGCUGACCUUGGCUGCCGCUCAAAGGCGAUCAGCUCGCACGACGAGAGUAGGCGGCAUACACACACACACUCACAGCGUCGGGCGCCUUGUGUGAAGGGUGAGGAGCGGUGGAGAACUGCUUUCCUGGAGUCUCCUCCGCUACCCUGCGUCUAAUCAGCCUCGUGCACACAUCACAGCUGCGCGUCGCCCUCUUGCAGGAACCUUCUCGAGGCGCCUACCUUCUUUGUGUUCUGUCUUGGUUGCGCGCCCAGGCCUGAGGGCGUCACGUUUUCCGCGGAGGAUUUCCCGCAGUGCUAUGAAGUGGCGCCCGCUGGCGUUUUUCAGUGCUCCUCGCCAACACGCAUUCUGCUGCCUGCCUUUGCACCCCCUACGCAUUCUCGCAGACACACACGCGCGAACGGGAUCCGUCCUGUCACAUUGCUCAUCGUAGUAUCUCUUAUCCUCUGUGUCUCGCGCUGUUCUACCAUUGUGUCUUCUCUUCCGUAUUGUCUGGCGUGACAGCGGAUGGAUUACCGGUCGCCAUUUGAGCUACGCCAGCAGCUCCUCGAGGAGGCCCGGGCUUCCCAGUCAACGUUGCCGCCAAAGAAGUGGAAGAGCAAGACCAAGGGCAGCAGUGGCGGCAACGGCGACAACUGUGCCGCGCCGCUCCCUAGGCACUGCUCAGUGGGUAAAGAUGGCUCGGGCUUUAUGCCCUCCACCGCACUUCCUGAUGACCCCACCGCACUGGUGCGCGAGGUUCCUGGCGCCGAGAACAUUGAGGCCCUCAAUGCGGCCCUGGAGCGCGAGGAGGCGGUGCAGCGGUAUGUGGAGAAAGAGAAGCUCUCGGUAGAGGAGUCUGCCAAGUACAUUAUGGCAAAUGGCAGCACAAUGCAGCGCAUCUCUUUUUUCGGUCAUGUCCGCGAGCAGCUUGUCGACUUGCCCUCGAAGGGGAUCUCCAAGGUGCUGGAGACGCUACUGGACUCGAUGUGGGCGCAAGACCCUGAGCUGCAGUGUCGCGCGCCGGAGAAUCUUCUGAAGCUUGUAGGUUUGCUGGACCCGAACACGGCAACUAAGAUGUAUGACUUUACCAAGACAAUGCUGACCGUCCAGACGCCGGAGAUUCGCGUAGCGUGGUGUGAGUUGCUGCUCGGGCUCAUCGACUACUUGCCUGUUAGUGUGCUGCAAAGUGACCUGAUUGUGCUCGCCGUGAACAAGUCGGAGCACGCGCAGCCGCAGGAUCAGCGCGAACUGAGUUGCAAGCUCUUUGGCGCCCUCUGCCAGCAUACAGCUUCUGAAAAGGUCGAGGAACUCAUACUGCCCCGAGCCCUGGCCUUGUGCCAGGACACGAACGUCGGCGUCCGCCAGCGAAUGUGCCAGCAGUUGUGUGCGAUUGCGCAUUCACUGGGUGUAGAAAAGGCCAAGACACGCGUAGCGCCGGACUUGUUUGAGCUCCUGAGCGAUGAGGAGCAGGCGGUGUCGCGGGCUGCCUUCUCGUGCCUUAUCGACUUAGUGGAGUUCUUCGGCCCCGUCUACCGGCGCGAGAAGCUGUUCCCCAUCAUCAAGAACUUCAUCUCGAAUCCACCAAGCGAGGUGGUCGGGCUCCUCGUCGGAGAGUUCGGUCGCUUCCUCGACGCCAUCAAGACUGACAUCAUGUCAGACGACGACGUGAAGCUUUUUGCAGACUUUUUCUGUGCCGCUGCGACGCGACACGAAGAGGAGGCGCGCCGUCAAUGCGCCUUUAACUUUCCUGCUGUGGUGGCAUCGCUUCCUCGCACCGUCUUCGCCACGCACCUGAGCAAAGCGCUCUUGUCCCUCUCCUCUGAUAGUUGCGUUGCUGCCCGGGUCAGCGCCGCUGCGGGCAUGCACGAGCUUCUUCCACUGCUGCACUCGCCAACUGCUGACCUGUUGGAGCGGCCCUUCCUGCGCCUCAUCGGUGACUCUGACACGUCCGUACGGGCGGCGCUGGUGAAGCACAUCAACAACCUUCUUGAUUACUUCCGCAGCGAGCUGAAAAGCUCGUCCCGCGUGUCGUUCUUUUCUGCUGUCCUUGACGCUCUCCUUUCGUGGGUGUCGGAGCCUGUGGUGAAUUGGCACACUAUGCAGCAUGUCAUGCAGAUUGUGGACCACUAUAUUGACUCGUUCGAGGAGAGGACGCUGACGGAGCAGGUCGUGCCGCGGCUGUGGGAGUACGCCAAGACCGGGGCGACGAUAUUGAAGGCCGACUGUGCCACGCUCAUUAUGCACAUAGCCUCCCGCAUCGAAAACUUCAUCGCGAAGGCGCAGAUGUUUAGCCGCCUGAACAGCGAGUACGGUAGAUCCAGCUCGUGCUACGCGCGUCAGACGUACAUCUACUUUGUCUCUGCAUCCUUUCGCUUUUUUUCCAUGCGCUGUGUUCGGGAGCGUAUGCUGGAGUGCUGCCUCGAGCUGCAACGCGACAGCGUGACGGCGGUACGACUGGCACUAGCGCGUAGCCUGCCGCUGCUGUCGCAGACACUGCGGAAGAGCAACGCCGGCGCCCUCGAAGAGGAAUUUACUGCUAUGGUCGGCCGGCUGUGCGAAGACGUGGAUGAGGAGGUGCAGGAGGAGGCUGCGAAGUACGUAGCAGGAUGCGAACGCCGCGCUCGCGCGAACACCGCUGCGCCAAGCCGAUUCAACGAAGAGGUGGAUAGCAGACGAGAGAAGGCGGAGCUGGCGAUGCUAGAGCACGCAAAGGAGACGGACAAGGCGGAGCGGCGUGCAAAGCUGCGUGACUUGCUGAAGAGCGAGCGUGAGAAGGAGCUCAUGGAGUUGCCGUCACCUCCAAAGGGACGUAAGCCGGCGCCACCGGCCAGCACAGCACCGCUUCCGUUAACUCGUCGUCACGGCAGCAAGCUCUCUAUAUUGCCCGCUGCGAACACGGUGAGUCUGCCCCGCAUUGCGACAGCGAAGCAAACACCGGCGCGGACCAUGAGCCGCAAGAGGCCUUGAGAGAAAAAGGAGCGACAGAGAGAGGAGGGGUACCGUUUACGCUUAUCCCGAUCUCCUUGUCUGUGCUCGCUCGUCUUUUUCGUUGGUUCCACUUUGGCGCUGCUGCGGUUGCGUACGUUGGCUGCAGCGUCGCCGUGCUUCUUGCGUGGUCAUACAUCGUCGCUGGGGGCAGGGAAGUUGGAAGGUUUAUGCUCUUCCACGCUGUUCUUCAUCCUCCUCUUCUCUUUCCUUUCGUUUUUUCCGAUCGGCCAUCGUGAGCGGAUGGACGGUAUGGGGGGGGUUUCUCGCCCGUCGGUGGUUACGCGUGGCUCUCGUUUCUCUUUGGUUUCUUCGUGUUUCUUUCGUCCAGCGAUCCUGCUGCUUCUGCGGCCGUACCGGUUGCACUUCGCUUCUUACGGACGACGCUUCUUUGCGUUCGGGAGCACCAACGUCUCCCCUUACAAGACGUGUGUGUGUGUGUCUGUGUUGACUGUCAGCUGUACAUAUUUUGUGUGUUUGCAUGUGUCUUCGCGUGUGGGUGUGUGACUAUAAAUGUAUAUAUUUACACACGCAUAUACAUACAUACCUAUAUACAACGUUAUAUAGUUGCGCAUGUGUGUAGAUGAGGGAGGGGUGGUGAUGGGUGCCGCUUUAUCUGCUCUGGCGCCGCGCAGGCUCUCUCUGUGUUUCUCUUCUGCCUUCUGCGUUCUUCCUUCUAGGUCUGUUUCCCACAUGUAUACAAACCACGGAAACACUGCCGCUAUAAAGAGCAGCGGUUGUGUGACACACAUGUAAAAUUUGCUUUUUGUUUGCCUCUAGGCCGCUACCAUGGUCGUACCCUCUGUCUCUGUCGUUGUCACCUCUCUUGCUCUCCGGCUUUCGCACAGGAGCACAUACACACGCCCGCUAAUGAGAAUGGUACCGUUCUGAGCCCUUGUGGUUUUUUUUGUCUCCGUCAUCUUUUCUGUUGGAAGGCUGUGUUUCGCCUUUCCAACUUGCUCUCUCGCCGUCUUUCUGUUUGUGUGUGGUGCUGAAUCGGUUAUGUGAUGAUGAUGUGUGCGUGUGUGCGUUGGGGGGGUCUGAUUCUGCAUGAUGCCGCUUUUCUGCUGCCUAGCCCCCUCACUGACGUGGGCGUUUGCAUGUGGGGUGCGUUGUUGUCUCUCUAUGUGGUUUUAUUGCAGGGUGGUGGUGCUUGCGACCGACCACGCCACAGCAGCGCACAAAUUCGCAGCCAGAAGAAAGAACGCACCGUAAGAGGGCUUCGCUUACAUUAUUCUUUUCGAACAAUACUGCUCUUUCUCUCUGUGCCCGAAUUUGUGUGCGCCUCCCCUCCGCGUCGCUUUCGCAUGCGCGUGUGCAUGUGCGCCCGUCUGUCUGUCGGUGCGAAGAAUGCGGGAAGAGGGGCGGGGUGAGCAUAUGCACGUGUGCGUGUGGCUGUUCAGUUGUGGUGGCGCUUAGCAAUAUGGAUUUUUUCACCAGCGUUGUUGGACGUUGCUUCUCUUCUCGUGACUCAGAUGAUGAGCUUUAGCCAUAUGUGAUGGCAAAGACCCAUCAGAGAGGUCUCUAGGAAUCGAAACAAAAC
rnacentral:misc_RNA from 1 species